CACAUUACAUUUUAUAGGAUGAUUAGUACCUGUCCCCAACCCCCCUCUCCCCUCACAGAUCCUGAACCAGGGUUCAGCAACCUAUGGCACAUGUGCCAUGCAUGGCACUCGGACUGCCUUUAAAUGGCACUAAGGCUACCAGAGACCCAGGGAAGUCACCCUCACUGAUAUAUAAACACAGAGCUUCAGAAUAAGCCUCCCACUUAUGCAUAUAAUAGAAAUAGUCCUCACACAAACACACAGUUCCCACAAACACAACACUACAGACUAUCCACAUACAUGCACAAACACACACAUAACACAUAAUGUGACAUAUCAUCCACACACAAUUCCACAAGCAGCCCCCAUACACAGCCCACAUUUAUAUGUAUAAUACACAAUGCCAUAAACUACUCAUGAACAUAUUCUGUGCAAUAUAACAGGCAACAUAGACACAAAUACAACGCUACAAAGCAACUGCAGCACCCACAAAUAACAGAGGCAGAAUACAGCAACAUACACGCCUCAAUUUAACAAAAUAGUACCAGCACGCCUAGGGACUUCAAAAAUGUUGUCCCACACCCUUGCCUUUCGUUGAUACUUACAUAAUGUUUAAACAGUCCCAUCCCGUGGUAACACCAACAGAAAUAAUGCUUACACUGUUUAUACAAAAACAUAAAUCCUCACAUAUGAAAAUAGUAAAGGUUAAAUGGUAGGUGGGCUACCUAUCACACAACUAAGUGAGACAUGAGAAUAAAAGCAGAAAUGAAUUCACAGGUGAAAUUACAAAUAAAA